rnacentral:rRNA from 1 species
UACGAAGGGGGCUAGCGUUGCUCGGAAUCACUGGGCGUAAAGCGCACGUAGGCGGACUCUUAAGUCGGUGGUGAAAUCCUGGAGCUCAACUCCAGAACUGCCUUUGAUACUGAAAGUCUUGAGUAUGGGAGAGGUGAGUGGAACUGCGAGUGUAGAGGUGAAAUUCGUAGAUAUUCGCAAGAACACCAGUGGCGAAGGCGGCUCACUGGCCCAUUACUGACGCUGAGGCACGAAAGCGUGGGGAGCAAACAGG